rnacentral:rRNA from 1 species
UACGUAGGGGGCAAGCGUUGUCCGGAUUCAUUGGGCGUAAAGAGCGUGUAGGCGGCCAGGUAGGUCUGGUGUGAAAACUCGAGGCUUAACCUCGAGAUGUCAUCGGGAACCAUCUGGCUAGAGUCCGGAAGAGGAGAGUGGAAUUCCUGGUGUAGCGGUGAAAUGCGCAGAUAUCAGGAGGAACACCUGUGGCGAAAAGCGGCUCACUGGACCACAACUGACGCUGAGGCGCGAAAGCUAGGGGAGCAAACAGG